CUAUUUUGCUAAUUCUUUCUUUGCAUCUGAAUUUGAAAGAAGAUGUGUUCUCCCUUAGCCAUACAAACAUCUGACCUCUAUGGGUAUCCACUUAGGAUUAGCCUGAAUUGGUCCUCUUUGGUGUAGAUCUUUCUUCUCCAAAAAUAAUCUCCCUGUGAAUCUGAACCAAGUCUGAAUCUUGAUCAACUCUUUGAUCCUUACCUUGAUUUUUUUCUUCUCUUCUUUUACUUGAUCUUCUUUCCUUAGAUCUAAAAGCAA
rnacentral:lncRNA from 1 species